GACAAGUUCCCCCCCCCUCGGCUGGCGCUCCGGGAGCGGGCGGUCUCCAUGGCAACCAGCAGGCCCCGACCCAGUUGCCUGGUUUCCCGCUGCCGUCUCGCUGGCCGCGCCCGCACAAAGACCGCGCGGUGACCGCUCAGUGCCACGACCCCGCCACUCCAGCCCCGCGGGAACCGCAGCCGCCGCCGCCGGGGAAGCAGUUCCGGCGGCCGCCGUGACGCGCAGGCAAGGCGCGGCCCCGACCCGCGGGCCAUCUUGGCAGCGGAGGGAGCGGCGGAGCGACAGGUACACACGCGGCCCGGCCCGGGCCAGCUCAGGUGCGGCCGCCCUUUGUUCUCCCGCAGGUAGUCGCGUGUCACCCGCGGGCAGCGCCUUCACCCGCAGCCCGAGCUCCGGCAGGUGCAUCCCGCCAAGUCUGGGCAGCGCAGGUCUGCGCAUCCCAUAAGGCCUGGGCAGGUCCAGCCUAUGCAUCCUGCAAGGCCUGGGAAGGUUCAGCCCGCUCAUCUCCUAAGGCCUGGGCAGGUCCUACUCGCUCAUGCUCCAAGGCCUGGGUAGGUCCAGCCUGUACAUUCUGCAAGGGUUGAGCAGGUCCAGCUUGAACAUCCUUCAAGGCCUGGGCAGGUCCAGCCAGCGCCCCAACACCUUGACCCUACAAAGCCUGCAGAAAGGAACUGCGCCCAGGACAGGACCAGUGGCCUCAGGCUUGCCUGCCUAGAUUCUGCCUGGGCGCACCUGCUUCAGCACCCAAGGCCUUUUGCUCUGGUUCUCCAGCUCUCUGUGGUUUAACCUUAGCCAGCAUGGUCCAACCUCAAACCUCCAAAAACGAAAGGCCAGCCUCUGGCCCUGGCGCCAGCGCACAAAAAAUGGAUGACGUGGUUGACACCCUGACCUCCCUGCGCCUCACCAACUCUGCGCUGAGGCGCGAGGCCUCCACACUGAGGGCGGAGAAGGCCAAUCUUACCAACAUGCUGGAGAGCGUCAUGGCCGAGCUUACUCUGUUGCGCACCCGGGCGCGCAUCCCUGGCGCUCUGCAGAUCACGCCACCUAUCUCUGCCAUCACCUCCAAUGGGACCCGACCCAUGACCACGCCGCCCACCUCGCUGCCUGAACCCUUCUCGGGAGACCCCGGCCAGUUGGCGGGGUUCCUGAUGCAGAUGGACCGGUUCAUGAUCUUUCAAGCUUCCCGCUUCCCAGGUGAAGCUGAGAGAGUGGCCUUCCUGGUGUCCCGACUGACUGGGGAGGCCGAGAAGUGGGCCAUUCCCCACAUGCAGCCAGACAGCCCUUUGCGAAACAACUACCAGGGCUUUCUGGCCGAGCUGCGCAGAACCUACAAAUCUCCGCUGAGGCACUCACGGCGUGCACAAAUCCGGAAGACAUCUGCAUCCAAUAGGGCUGUGCGGGAGCGGCAGAUGUUGUGCCGCCAACUGGCCACAGCUGGCACAGGAGCCUGCCCAGUGCAUCCUGCCUCCAACGGGACCAGUCCGGCACCGGCCUUGCCUACCCGCAGCCGGAACCUUUAGGGAACCUGUGGCCACCCAGGUAGCUAGACUGUUGCUGAGAAGAAUUGUCGAUAGAGUAGUAUUGUUCUGUUUGCAGGCACCUUUCAUGUCUCUCCCAGUCUGUAGGAGGCCAUCCUGCCAUCCUCAUUGGUCAUCCACCCUGCUGUGCGUUUUGCUAGCUUUACCUGCAACUCAGUGCAUGUCCCCCGACCCCCACUCUGUUGCUUGCAAUUCCAGCUUCUCUAGUAAUCACAACACAGCCCCUUGGACAUGUGCCUGCCUAGGAACCAUUUAGGCUGACCACCUCUGUGGGUGGGCUCAGCUAGUGGACAUUCAGCUUCUGUGCCCUCCCUACAAGCACCCUGGCGAUUCCCUUCCUGGCCACUCUGGUCUUGCUGAUGAGUUCUGAAUAGAAAGAAACCAUCUUGGCUCUGAAGGUGGCUGAUGUGUACCUGAACCAGCCUGCCCACAUCUGGUCCCUUUGCAAGGUAGCCAGGUAGUCAGUCCCUCUGCAUUCCAGGGCUCCUUUCCUCUAUGGGGGAGCCUGUGUUCCAGCAUACCCCACUGCUGAUGCUGGGAACAUCUGGUCCUUCACAGACAUUCCUUCUGCCUCUCCUGUCCGCAGGAGACUCAUCCACACCUGUCUGUGACUGCCAGUGUUUUGAUGGCAUCAGGGAAAUCUAGCAUUCGUCUACCAAGUUAAUCAUGGACCUGGGACCCUGGGGCAGUUCCAUCAGGCUGCCAUAGGAAACAUCCAUGUGUCAGCCAUAGCAGACUGAAGGGGACCUGGGGACCCCAUUUGCUGCCUGAAUUUCUGUUGAGAGGCUCACAGGUGUCUGCUCCUUUCUGCCCACGUGGCUCCAUGGUGGCCUUGUCUAGCCCCAGGCCCUUUUCCACCCAGGGGCCAUGUGGCUUUCACCUCGGCCUUUCAGCCACCCACACCAUCUCUAGGGGUCCAAGGAACCCACCAACAUAUACCCUCUCUGUGCCUGGGCCUAAUGUCGGGCCUUUGUCCAAGAACAAAAGACUGGCUGGGGCCAGUUCCUCUAGGAAGCAUCGGGCACCUUCGGUAGGGGGUGUCGGCCUCUUGCUGCCCCAGUUUGAGGAACUGGUGAAGAGCGACCAAUGGCUUUGGUCUUCAUAUGGACACACAUUCCAAUUCUGAGGAGCAAAACAUUGACUUCUUCACAGAAGGAUGCCUGGAAAUCGUAUUCAGACUCAGCCGAGCUCCUGGACAGUGACAUCUGUCACACUUCAACACCUGAUUAACAUGCCUACUUGGCCCCUUGGGGGAGAUGGGUGCCUCUCCUGGGUUCUCCUGCCCUCCUCUGCAUGGUCUUAGCUUGACCACAAAAAAAACCCCACCUCUGCACCCACCCACAUACAUUUCUCCCCUCUUGGGAGUCCAGAGGCUGGGGCCUGGAACCUGGCCUCUUUCAGAGACUUCCUCCAUUAUUGGAAAAAGUGACUGACUCCAAAGCCGGCGUCCUUGCAGGGCCAGGAGUCUUCAACGCUCACUGGCCUCACAGCCCACGGCCACCUGCUUCUUGUUAACUCCGAUAGCCCUUGCUGAAGAGCCUGGACCACGGCACCCUGCUGGCACCGUGGUGCUUCAUGAGCAGGUGGAAGACUCCCUGGGGGUUCCACCGAGGGUGCUCACCGGUCCCCAAGAGCUGAGUCUCAGGACCUUCCAGUAGAGGCGCCCUCCCCACCCCCAGUGAAGCUCCAGCUUUACCACAGAAGCGGGGAGGUGUCUGUGGAGGCAAGAGACACCUGGAAGGUUUCUUUGCGGCCUUCUCGAUCAGGAUUGGAGACCCACUGGGAGGGCAUGCCACCUACCCUGGCUCCUCGGACCACCGGCUGCUGUAUUGGCUUCAUGUCCCACUCCAGAGUCCUCGGCUGGUGGUGCUGGAGACAGAGCCGGGCAGGCCAGCCGUCUCCCUGUGUGGCUUCACCGGCUCCCUUUGCCGUCUGGGCUGACUCACCUGGGUCGCUCUGCUGCAGUGGGGUCCGCGCUGCUGCUCUGGUGGCAUUGGCUUGGUGGUUGUGUUUUUUUUUUUUCCCCCCCCCCCCCCCGUGCUUGUGUUUAUGGAAAUGGGGGGCAGUGCUGCCCCGUAUUUAGAACCAUCUCGAUAGCUCUCUGUGGCUUGGAGCCUGGAGCACAUGAGAGAAGGUUGAGGCUUGCCCUCCACCUUGGACCUGGAAGAGCCGCUUUGGGUCUGUUACUGAGGCCCUAGCGGAGGGCGUGGUUAGUCCCUAGCCAAAAUGAUGAGAUGCAAGGCCCCUGCAGCCCCCGAGGGAGACCUUGAUAACUGGGCAUCAAGCUGAGGAAGAGGGGGAGGGGAGGGGCAGCUUGUACAUAUCCUAAGGUUGUAGUUUCUUGAGCUCGGAAGAGAGCAGGGAGAGGGGGAUGGAGGAGUUGCUGUACGUAGGAGUGGCCUUCCUCUCGGCAUUGACUGUUGCAGCCGCACUGUGCCUGCCCCCCCCAGACUCUGUGACGCCCAUCUGACCGCCGAUGUCCUUUGCUCCACUGACGGGCCUGACCAGUUUGUAAGAGCUCCGUAUACAAUUAAAGAUACUAAUCUGUUGUG